rnacentral:rRNA from 1 species
UACGUAGGUGGCAAGCGUUGUCCGGAAUUAUUGGGCGUAAAGCGCGCGCAGGCGGUCCUUUAAGUCUGAUGUGAAAGCCCCGGGCUCAACCUGGGAAUGGCAUUGGAAACUGGCAAGCUCGAGUUUGGCAGAGGGGGGUGGAAUUCCGCGUGUAGCAGUGAAAUGCGUAGAGAUGCGGAGGAACACCGAUGGCGAAGGCAGCCCCCUGGGCUAAGACUGACGCUCAGGCACGAAAGCGUGGGGAGCAAACAGG